UGUUGCUCAAUAAGUUGCAGUCACUGAUCUACAAAAAAAAAAAAAAAUGGAUAGCUCAUUGGCCACCAAAAUUGAAGUCGACCAGUUUCGUGGCUCAGAGAAAAAAAUUACACAGGAAAGUGGUGCAGAUGUUCCUGAGAGCUGGCUUGCAGUUUCCCUGUUUUCCUUCUGCUCGUCUGUUCCCAGCUCUCCAGUGUUGCCAAGGGGCCGGUGAUGAAUGAUCAAUUGAUGGGCGUAUAGCCUUUGGUUGGACUGCAGCAGGCUAUCUUUGUUUGGCUGAUUUUCCCGGUAGGCUUCUAACUGGGGAGACUCCAAUUCGGGAGCAAUAAAGAUAUCAUUAACUGCUGAUUGCUUUGGAGUGAUGAAGCCUUGGUGGGUGGUCUUUAUCUGAGAGUCAGGAAACAGAACCAGACCCGUAAACACUCCACUCGGCGCAGAGGAAACCCCCGAAACAUCGGCUUGCAUGCAGGCGGGGCAGCGCUAUCACUGAGUCUGCUCCGCGCUGACACUAAAAGGAUGGCGGCAUGUGUUCCUGAGUCACAUCAUCUGCUUAGCAACAAGCACGCCGGAGAGAGCGGGACAAAGCGACGUGAUUGGGGGAGACAAGGACCCUCAGGACAUCAAGUGCUAAUUGCAAAGCUAUUUUCGGCUCCAUUUUACAAACAAAUCCUUCGCCAGAAAAGGGGUUGCAUAACCGGGUUUUACACCAGUACCCCUCAUCAUUUGCCUUCACUUUCUUUCCAUCCUUUUAUUCACACCCCCAUCAUCUACCUAACAACGCCAUCUUGUUUCCUCAGUUGUGACACAACCUGAAGUGAAUGCUUGAAAGAGUAGGAUCAUGUUCAUGCUUUUAUAUCCAUCAUCCAUCCUUUUUUCCAAGCCGCUUAUCUUCACAAUCGUCGGGGGAAUGCUCAAAAACCCCAAAAUAUAUACAGUGUGUGUGUUUAAAAACUGUAUUUAACCACACUGACAUAAAUUACACAGCAUUUUCCUUGAAAUAUUAUGUCAUUAUUUUCCCAAGGUUUUAGCUUUAUUGUCAUCAUUUUGCUGUAGUUUUUUUUUCUUGCUUGCAGCGUGGCUGUAGUAUGUGUGAAUGUGUGGAACACGACCGCUGUCAGUGUUUAGAUGCGGCUGAUCAAAACCAUUUUGAGGUUUCCUAGUUAGAAACAAGACACUCCAGGCCCACACAUAAUAGUAAAAAUGAGAAAUAAAAAUAAAGGCUAUUGUGUGACUUCUUCUUCAGCAUUUUCCACACCAACCCCAAGGGAAACAAAAGAGUACUUAUGUAAUGUCAGUGUUACUCAACUCUGAUUACAGUCUGUCAUGUGAACACUAGGAAAAAGAUUGGGCUGUGUGCCGAGGUGCGAGUGCAUCCACACGGACUGGAGAGACCAUCUGCUUUUGCACAAAACCAUCUACUUCCUAAAGUCUCAUUGAUAUAGAAAACCUUCCAUGUAAAUCCAGUGUGCUUCUAUUUUUUAUUUUCCUUCACUUUAUG